UUUUUAUUUAACCCCUUAACGACCUUUGCCGGUUCAGGACCGUCAUGGAAAAACGGUCACUUAAUGACCUUUGACGGUCCUGAACCGUCAAAUAAUUAAAUAAGCUUAGAAAUCUCCAGACCCUCUAGAGAACUCUGGCUCCACUUGCAGGUUGAAUACAGGUACUGCAUUCAACCAUGCAAGUCAAUGGAGCCUAGCCUUCUAAUCACAAUGUGAUUAGUAAAAUAUUCAAAAAAAAAAAAAAAAAAAAAUGUGCUAACAUUUAAAAAUAAUUAUGCAGUGAUGUCACUAGAUGAACCAUCCAGUACCAGCAAAAUGUGUAAAAAAAAAUAUAAAAAAGUAUUAAAAAAAAAUAAAAUAAAAAAAUAAAGUUUAUUAUUUUGAGCAAGUGCUAAAAUUUCUCAAAAAUCUCAACAAAGAGUUAAAAUAAAAGCACUUCAAAUACCCAAGGGGUGUCUAAUAUAAAAAAAAAAUGGCUGAUGGGCACUGUUC